GUAGCGAAAUUCCUUGUCGGGUAAGUUCCGACCUGCACGAAUGGCGUAACGACUUCCCCGCUGUCUCCAGCAUAGACUCAGUGAAAUUGAAUUCCCCGUGAAGAUGCGGGGUUCCUGCGGUUAGACGGAAAGACCCCGUGCACCUUUACUAUAGCUUUACAUUGGCAUUCGUAGUGGCAUGUGUAGGAUAGGUGGUAGGCUUUGAAGCCAGGGCGCCAGCCUUGGUGGAGCCACCCUUGAAAUACCACCCUUAUUACUAUGGAUGUCUAACCGCGGCCCGUUAUCCGGGUCCGGGACAAUGUAUGGUGGGUAGUUUGACUGGGGCGGUCGCCUCCUAAAGAGUAACGGAGGCGCGCGAUGGUGGGCUCAGAACGGUCGGAAAUCGUUCGCUGAGUGCAAUGGCAUAAGCCUGCCUGACUGCGAGACUGACAAGUCGAGCAGAGACGAAAGUCGGUCAUAGUGAUCCGGUGGUCCCGCGUGGAAGGGCCAUCGCUCAAACGGGAUAAAACGGGUACGCCGGGGAUAGCAGGCUGAUGACCCCCAAGAGUCCUAG
rnacentral:rRNA from 1 species